rnacentral:lncRNA from 1 species
UGUGCCCUUAAAUUUGAACUCAAAUUUCAGUUGAUUACUUAAAGAUUAUAGACCCUGAGGCAGUUAGGAGCAAGUUUUGUUAUUUUGGUGGAUGUGCUCAUGCCACUGUGCAUGUGUGGAGGUCUGAGGACAGCUAUUGGGAGUUGGUUAUCUCCUUUUCGUGGUGGCAUGUGGUAAUAGAAUUCAGGCCUUGUGGCUUUCUCAGCAAGUGCUUUUAUCCACUGAGUAGCCCAAAGAUCUGAUUAAUUUUGUCUCAUUAAUGAUUAAUAAAAGCCCUCCAUCUUUCACUGACCUAAGUUGUGUUGAAUUGUAUUAACUGCAAAUUUUAGUUUAUUUUUGUUGCUGGUCCCACAGUAAUCCUCUUAUUUUAUUCAUAUAUUAGUCAUUGAUGCCUUUGACAUAAGUUAGCAAUAAACCACCUACGCUAAGGAUAUGGAAUUUAGAAGUACCAAAGUCCCUAAGCCCCUUCACCACGCAGGUGGACAUCAACAUCUCCAUCUUUACUGAGCAAUUACAUCAGCUGUGGCAUUCUAACUCUGUGAAGUACAACACACUCCAUAAAGAAUGGAAGCUGUUUUUGCUCUGUGAAGUACAACGCACACUUUGCGAAGAAUGGAAGCCACAGGCUUAAAUCUUAAUAGGCUGACUCAUGAGGGAUUUUGUGACUAACCCAAACUUGGUUGCUAUUACAUUCCCAUUAUUGACUCCAAAAUAACUCUACUUCUUACGUACUGACUUAUGUACGCUUUAAUUUUUAAUAUAACAGAAACUAAAAUUCACCACCCAGCAGAAGAGAAAUAAAUGGAACCAUUAAGACUGUCUGUGUACUGCUACCCACGGACACCUUAACCUCAUUUAUCUUUUUCAAGGGACCUCAUUGUGCAUUGCAGAGGGUCUACCCUGAAACAGUGAUCCAAGCAGCCCCCUACUUCACACAUUAACUGACUGGCUUGCUAUCUUUAUUCUGUGGGUAUAAAUACUUAUCUAUGAAUAAAAUAAAAGAAAGAUUAUAGGACCAGCAGAGGGGAUUGGCCAGAGUUUAUGGUUAUUAUGAUCCAGCAUAGCCUAAGUCUGUUAAUCAUGGAGGGCUUUUAUUUCUUCUCAGAAUUUUUCAGUAUUAAGAUUUGUUUGGUGUCAUUGGCAAUUUACACAUUUCAUCAAUGGUAAAUGUCUGGGCCAAGAAUUCACUGAGGUGGGAACAUGGAGAAUGAGUGGAGAAGUCAGUGCUAAUGUCUUCACCAUGACUGGAGCAUGGUUUGUGGCUGGACAGGAUUAGCUCCCCUAAUCUGCAAAAUCAGACUGUGUUCUUAAGCCCAAAACUUUCUGAGCAUUGACUUGGUACAUGUGGAAGAUUCCACACUUGUCCUCAUGAUGGUUACAGUCAAAAUGCCGGGGCACUGAAAUAUAGUAAAAAAUUCCUGCUGGUCCCAGGUUUAAGGCGACGGGGGGGGGGGACAAAUGAAUUUUAUUUCUUUUUGGGUAAUAUUGUUAAGACAUUUCAUUGUGAUUGUGAAAAUAUAUCAAAAGUUGAAAAAAAAUCCCAGAUUUAAAACACUUGAGAAGCCAACCAUGUCUGAAACAGGGUGCUCAAUUGUGGUUGUUGAGAUCUCUAACUGUGCAAUAAGUUACCCAGUGACUUCAUGGCUCAAAGCAUGGAGCACCUUAGUUUCCAUGGUUUCCAUGAGGCCAGAGUUCAGGGGUUUGUGUUCAGAGUCCUGUCAAUUUACAGAGACAUGUUAGGCACAAUAGUGGCUUGACUGAGUGCAGGUGUGUUUUUGUGCGUGCAGGUGUGUUUGUGUGUGUGUGUGUGUGUGUGUGUGUGUGUGUGUGUGUGUGUGAUCAUUUUGCAAGGCUCAUGUCCAUGGCUGGCUGCUAAUGGGGACCAAUCUUUUUCUCCAUGUGAAAAUUUGCUCAGUGAGAGUCCUUAGAACAUGCCAUCUAAUUUCCCUAAAGCAAUCAUUACGGGAAGAGUCUGGUAGAUCUUAGUGUAUCAUAGGACCUAUUUCCCUAAGGCCCAAACCACCACUUCCAUAGUGUUCUACUGGCCACAUAGACAACCAUGAGCCAACAUGUGAACACAUAAUACAAGGCUGUGUGCCAUAGGCGUGGAGUCCACUGGCCGUCAUCUUGGAGGUUGUCUACCACAUUGACCGUCCUUAAAAUUCAGACAAAUUUAAUUAAAGAAGAGCAAGGAAAGUUCACAAGUGGGAUUGACAUGAAGUGAGGAGCUGAGUGAUCAGAUGUCCUUACAACUGCCAUCAGAGUGUCUCAGUCCCCUAGAACAUAAGCUGUCAGGCGUGUCUCAGUCAAACGUCAGGAGUUGAUCGUCAGGUUCACAUUUCAUGUUUAUUGACUUUAUUGGCAGUAAUGACUCAACGAGUGAGCUGACUAACAAAGGUAGGACUAACUAAACCAAAGACAACCAUGCCCCAACCAAUGAUGGGAAUUCUUGGGUGUCUGAAUCAAUGAUUUUUAUUAAGCCUGUAACUCUGAGGUCCAUCAUAAGAGACUUCAUCAGAGGCCAAUGAAAUGACUUAGUGGGUUAAUGCGCUUGCUGCCAAGCCUGAGCACCUGAGUUCAAUCCCCCAGACCCACAUGGUGGAAGGAGAGAACCGUUCCCGAGGAUGUCUUCUGAUCUCCUCAUGUGUGCUAUGGCAUGUGCAUGCACACACAGACAAAGACACACACACACACACACACACACACACACACACACACACACACUGCAAAGAUACACAAAGACACAUAGACACAUACCUGGAGACAAAGGCACACAAACUUAGACACACAAAGGCAAAGACACACACACAUACACAAACACACACACACAGACAAAUAUACACACAGAUAGACAAAGACAAGCACACACAAAGACAUACAUAUAUACAUAGAGACAAAGACACACACAGAGAGAAUGACAAAGACACACAGAAAGACAGAGGACAUACACAUACAGACAGACAAAAACAUACAAUAUACACAGACAAAGACACACACACACUCACAGAGACAAAGACACACAGCACACACACAGACAAAGACACAUACAGAAAAAAACACACUCACAAAUACAGACACAGACAUACAACACAUAUACACAGAGGUAGACAAAGACAUACAAUACACACACACAGAGGGACAAAGACACACACACAGACAAAGACCCACAUACACAGAGACAAAGACACACACACACACACACACACACACACACUGACAAAGAUACACAAAGACACACAGACACAUACCUGGAGACAAAGACACACACACUGAGACACACAAAGGCAAAGACACAUACACAAACACACACACACACAGACAAAUAUACACACAGAUAGACAAAGAAAAGCACACACAAACACACACAUAUAUACACAGAGACAAAGAUACACACAGAGAGAAUGACAAAGACACACAGAGAGACAGAGAAGGGCAUACACAUGCAUACAGACAAAAAUACACAACACACAAGGACAAAGACACACACACACACUCACAGAGACAGAUAAAGACACCAGCACACACACAAAGACACAUACAGAAAAAAAACACACACUCACAAAUACAGACAAAGACAUACAACACACAUGCACAGAGGCAGACAAAGACACUCAACACACACACAGAAAAAGACACACACACACAGACAAAGACCCACAUACAUAGAGACAAAGUCAAACACACGCAGAGAUAAAGACACACACACACCGACAAAUAUACAUAUUUGUGUGUAUACACACACACACACACACACACUAUAUAUAUAUAUAUAUAUAUAUAUAUAUAUAUAUAUAUACAGAGACAAAGACACACAGAGAGACAGAGAAGGACAUACACAUACAGAAAGACAAAAACACACAAUACACACAAAGGCACACACGCACACACAGACAAAGACACACAGCGCACACACAGACAAAGACACAUACAGAAAAAAACACCCACUCACAAAUACAGACAAAGACAACACACAUACACAUAGGCAGACAAAGACACACAAUACACACACACACACACACAGAGACAAAGACACACACACAGACAAAGACCCACAUACACAGAGACAAAGUCAAACACACACAGAGACAAAGACACACACACACAAAGACAAAGAACUAAGACACACAUAGACAAAGAUACACACAGACAAUUACACAUACACACAUAAAGAUGCACAAAGACAAAAUACACACAAAGACAAACAUGCAGACAAAGACACAUACACACAUACACAGAGACAGAUAAAUGACAUACACAGAGAAAAAGACAACCGACCAUGGACAAAGUCACAGGGCAACGACAUACACACAGAAAUAGACAAAGACAAACACACACACACACACACACACACACACACACAAACUCAAACACACACAAAGACACAGACACACAGACAAAGACAAACACACACAGACAAACACAUACACACAUACACAGAGACAAAGACACACACAAACACACACACAAAGACAUACUCACACAUAUACAGAGACAAAGACACACCCAUCCAAAGACACAUAUACACAUACACAAAGACACAUACACACAUAUACAGAGACAAAGACACACAUACUGAGAUAAAGACAAACACACACAAAGACAUACACACACAAUCAUAAAGACACAAACACAUACAGACAAGGGCACACACACACAAAGAUAGACACACAGAGACAAAGACACACAUACACAGAGAUAAAGACAAACACAGACAUACUAGAAAGACAAACACACAAAGACACACAUACAGAGAUCGACAAAGAAACACAGAGAGACAGACAAAGACAUACACAUAUAGACAGACAAAAACACACAACACACGCACAAAGACACAGUACACACACCCAGAGACAGACAAAGACACACAGCACACAGACACAGACACACAAUACACAGACAAAGACACACACAGGACAAAGACACAGACACAGACAUACACAAAGACAAGACAAACACACACAGACAAAGAAACACAACACACACAAAGAUACACACAAAGGCACACACAGACAAAUAUACGCACACUGAUGAAGACACACACACAUCAAGGACCCACACAACAAAGACACAAUACACACAAAGACACGAACACACAAAGAUACACAUAAAGACAUGACAAAGCCACACACACACACACACACACACACACACACACACACACACACACACCAAACAAAUAUGUAGAAAGAAUAGACACUUGUUUAGGGAAUUAUUAGAAAUUAGGAACAUUUCAAAUUUUGUUUCUUAACUAUUUAGUUUCAUAAGUCUCUGGUAUUUCACUGUAAGUAAAUUAAUACGGCGAGGCAAAUAUUUAAAUACAUAAAUAUUUAAAUGACAAAGGAGAAAAGGCAGCUAUUUGUGGCCUCCUUAUGAAAUUGGAGAAUUUAUGCACUAUUGUGAAUACAUUUGAAGCAAUCAAUUCCAACAUAAAUUUAUUAAAUCUGAUUGAUAGUCCUUCACCCAGCCCUGAGAAACUGAUGGCAUUGUUCUUCAUCAUUAAGGACAUAGUGGCUGGUGAAUUGAUGCUUGUUUAUUGGACUGUAGUUAAAAUACCAGAAAGUUCACUAAAUAGGAACCAGCACUGCUCUAAUGAGCACAGAUUUGCUAAGGUUCAGGAAGGCUAACCAUCCCUGUGACAUUGAUGUUCACCGUGGGAAGAGGGAGCCAAGGGUUUUCUGUUAAUAACGUCCUGCUUGUUAUUGUUGGGACUUACUGUAGGUUGAUCUUUGUUGUUCUUUGUGAGUGAGUAAAUGAUGGUUUAGAUGAAUGAAGAAAGCAUUCAAACCUAGGCCAGUGAUCUUGGAGAAUGUCAGUAAAAAUUUUAUUAAACUCCAGAAUGUCAAGGACCACUGGGAAGAUAAAAUGACUACUGUGAGUGGAGGAAGAGUCAGUUUUUUUUUUUUAUUAUGAUCCUGUCAUUCAAGCUGGGUGGUAGUGGCUCACACCUUUCAGGGCUACACAGUCAUUUGUAUGCAGAUGUUUUUGUCCUAUGUUGGUAACUGGUCUUGGAUAGUACCUUUAGAGAAGUGACACCCAUUCAUUGGCAUAAAAUAAUAAUUAAAUGUCCACAUAAUUGCCAGAUGAAUACAGACCCAUGAUAAGAAUAUUAACCCAGCUGGGCGGUGGUGGCGCUCGCCUGUAAUCCCAGCACUUGGGAGGCUGAGGCAGGUGGAUCUCUGUAAGUUCAAGGCCAGCCUGGUCUCCAGAGCGAGUGCCAGGACAGCUAAGGCACAGAGAAACCCUGUCUCGAACCCCCUUCCCCCCCCAAAACAAAUGUUAAUUCAAAACCCUAACUUUUAUUGAUUUUCUUAAUAAAAAUGGAAAAGAACUCAGCCUGCCAUUAUUGAGGGCACUGGCUAUAGAGUCAGAAGAAAAUAUUUUUUAUAGCCCGGGGCUGUUACAUUGUAGAUUCCCAUAUUCUCAAAAUGAAGGAAUUAUUUUAGUCCUGAAUUUAUAUUUUUAAAAGUCAGCAGCACCGGGCUCAUCAGGAACUCAUGUCAUCAUAUGACAGCUCUGACACGUGCUUUCUUUCCCCCCACCGUGUCAAAGAUUUUAUCAUGUUCUAAUCAUGUUGACCACCUCUGUGCCUCCAAACUAAGGAGCAUGAAGCCCUAGGUAAGCAACCAUCCAUGUUGAUGUACUGGAAUUGUGUGGGCUUCCUUUACAGGAGCCAGCUACACAAAUAAGUAAAUUUUUAAAUAAGACCUGAAAUUAAAGAGUGCCAACCAUGGGCCUGCAAUUGGGAUAUCUGAUUAACAACCAAAAAAAUUAUGCCUAAUUCAACUAAACUCACUAAGGACCAUUCUUCCAGAGAUGGUGGACAUUCCACAGAUUUAACUGCCCUGUAAGGCAUCAACCAUGGUUGUUUCUUAGAGCCCUUCACUAGCAGACAGCUUACUGUGAGUUCCUCACAGCAGAAGUACAGUGAAGGACAGCAGAUGUCAAUUCUGUCAGGUGUGUUUCAUGUUACCAAGCCUAUUAUGUGGGUUUCCAGCAGCUUUCAGGGACAGACAGACACCCAUAAUGAGACAGGACUUGACAAGAAGCCAGCCUGCUAAUUAAUCCACAUGUGUCAACUAAAGGCUCUCAAAUAAACAAUACAGGCCAUUUGAUCUACAGAAAGGCUACUGAUAAGAGAUCCAUGAAUGACCACACCAACUCAAGAAAGUUGUUAUUGAAUACAGCCAUGCCUGUAUCUGUGAUACCUGUUGGUAGAGGUGUGUGAGGCAACACCUCUGGUAAAUCAUUGGUGUAACUCUGAGGUCCAUUACUCAGUGAUACACAAACAAUGUUUUGUUUAUUAAUUAUCUUUGAGCAGAAGUGGGAAACAUUCAAUCAAUUUGUUCCUGGGAUUUUGUGAUUCAAUGAUAUGAAGCAUGCUACUCCAAGAGAACGAAUAUCUAAGUAGGAAGUAGAUACAUAAAAAGACAUGAUAUGUCAGAAAGAAGAAAGACACACCUAUUUGUAAACAGGUAGUAUAAUAAGCCAAGGAUAGCUAAUGCUUUUGCUUGCUGAAAAGCAAGGCCACUUGUGAACUGGAAGCAAAACGGGAUGCAGGAUGUAACCCUGUUUCAUUCUGAGUAUAUUAGUAGCUGUAGUUAAGAGAGUUGCUUGGGUGUUUCCAAAAAUACACUCCUGAUUAAUAGAUGUUUCUAAUUACCUUAGAACUUACUCUCAGGUGAGAUAGCGAGUGGACUCACAUGCUUACCAUAUUUAAAAUCCCAAGUUCAAUAUUAAAUCUAAAGUUGAUUAUUAUGUAGAUCCACUUGACCCAUUAAAUUCUACAUUUGUUCUAAUUCUUCUUUUCCAUUCUGUGGUGAAUGUAGGACCCCUGAUUUAAUUAUUUAAUAUGGAAUCAUUGUCCUGAGUAAGGAGCAUAGAUGAGAGUAAAGGUGAGACCAUUAGUUCAUGGUCUCUGUUUGCAAUCUUUUGUUUAUAGACCCUAGCUGAUAGAACUCAGGACAAGUAAUAGUCACACCCCUAAAUCAGGUAACACUCCCCAAGUAUGGACCAAUUGAGGGAAUGCAGUCGUAUUCACAGGGCCUGUAGUGGUGCUCUGGGUGUUGUGGCUGAGCUCAGCCUCCCCAGGAGUAGUUCUUCAGGAUGGACCAACACGUGAGCCCAUGAGUGUUUCGGAGGUGGAAGAAAGUAGCUUCUCAUUAUGUUUCCUGGAGCCACCUUUGACAUUUGGCUGAAUUAAAUAAAAGAGGACCACACAAAAACCAGAUAUGAAUUCAAUUCAAACCAGAGAUGUUGAUCAACCCACAGUGCACCUUGGAGUAACUUGUGAAAGUAGUGUGAUCUAAAUGUCUCAAUGACAAAAGAGCCCCAAUCCAAAGAUCUUGUUCUGGGGACGCUGUUCUGUUAAUUAUCAGUCAGUUGGUUAGUAAGUGAAGCAAACACCCAGCAUGGGCCAAUGAUGAGGAGCAUGGGGUUUUUAAACCCUUAUGAAAUCUGAGGACUAUUGCAAAGUGGUGUCUGCAGCCUGUAGAGACGAGUCCCCAAAGCCCGAUCUUGGUGGAUUCAUGGCACAACCCACAUUGCUGUAAUAAAAUUAACCGUGAAUAAAGAAAAAAGAAUCAAUGAAUGAAAAAUAAGAAAGAUAAUGCUGGGCAAGAUAGCACAUGCCUGCAACCCUGACUUCUAGGGGUCUCCCAAAAAACAAAACAAACAAAACCAAAACAAAAUAAAUCAGCAAAAAAAAAAAAACAAAAAAAAAAAACAAAAAGACAGGGCAGAUGUGUUGGCUCUACACGUAAAGGCAUUUGUGACCACGCCUGAUGGUCUGAAUUCCAUCCCUGAAACACUCAUGGAGAAGGACAUAUUCCUACAUGUUGUCCUCUGACCCCUACACAACACAGAUGCUCCUUCAUACACACUUUAAGUGAAUAAAUACAUUAAUAUAAAACAAAAAUAUGAAGAGAAACUAAUGGCUGUAAACUUUAAAAUUUGAAAGCAUUUAAUGCAUUGUGGCUUGUUAUUUACAUUGAGAUGAUCAGUUUAGGUGACUAGCUUUCUUAGAGGUCAUGGGAUUUGAUUAUUGGAAAAGGAGGCAAAUUGAUGUGAGGUUGCCCGUGUCCAGGAAAAGAAGAGACAUUUCUGUAACUAGUGACUAGAGGCAGAACACUUACACAGAACCACGAUGAGACGUCACACAUACCACCAUUGAUAAAAUCUAGGCAUUUUUCUUGAAAUAAACACACACUAAGUCAUUUACAAUUGCAUCUUUUCACCAGUGUCAUAGGAAAAACAUAAAUUGAUUGAUCUGAUAUAGAUAGACACACAUAUUACAGUAUAAUUAAGAAGGGACAUAUUCCUAAAUUUGUAUCUCAACCAGUAUUUUUUUUUUUUUUUGUUAAUUCAACAAUUGUGUACCAGUGGAAAAUAUUCCACCAUUGGGAUCUUUACACUAUCCACUUCUGAAAUCCACAAGAAGACACUGUGUUACUGUUCCAGUGUUGGUUUGAGGGCUGUAAACUUUAAAAUUCUGUUAGAAUCAUUAUCCCAUGAGAAAUCAAACACAUCAGUUAGUGAGUGAAGUAAACAGGGGCUGGGGAGAUAGUUAAGUCAGUCAGGUGCGUGCCUUAGAAUCACGGGAACUGAUUUCUAUCCCCAUAGCUCAUGCAAAUUAAAAAAGGUUGCGUGUGAUGGGUUAUCCCAGUGUGUCCUGGUGACCCCAGUGUUGGGAGGCUGUGGUGGGUGUGAUGGUGUGUAUGUGUGACCCCAGUGCUGGGAGGCAGAGGCAGGUGGAUCUGUAGGGCUUGCUGGCUGACCAGUGAGAGAUCUGACCUCAUCAAACAAGAUGGUUAGCUUCUGAGGACCAGCACCCAAGGUGCCUUACACAGGCGUGCUUGUGAUCAUUACAGAGAUUAUACCAUAUGGUAAAUCUCUCAUCUUCAGUUUUGCACAACGUCCAACUGAAAGGACAACUUUGCUCUUACGUAUGUUGGUAACAAACACACCAGAUGGUCCUAAUAAUUAGAGUUAUUUUUCUAUUUUAAAAAACUGCUAGGUUCAGUGGUGUUCAUUACAUUAUUUAAGAUAAAAACUCACGCAGGCUCAUAAAUAUACAGUGCUGUUCUCGCUUCUAAGCCCCAUAAGGUAAUAAAUAUAAAGGACUUCUGCCUUCCCAAGUGUUCCGACCGGAACGCAAACCAACGUUUACGGCUAAUUGAUCACCCCCAACUGUGGUUCCUCCUCAGAAGCUAAAUGACAGUAAUUCAUUUGAAUAUUUGCCUUUUAUUCCUCAGAAUGAGCGCGGCUGGUGUGGCUUCAUGAUUACCUUCUGGGGAAGAUCUUGCCUGUUUACCUCUGCAUAAGGAAGGAAGACACAGAUAACUGUUACGUCAUGAGUCAUGAAAUGUAACUGGAUCAGUGUGAGCAGAACUGGCUUUGGGACAUCAUGAAGUAUAGAUAUAG